rnacentral:rRNA from 1 species
AACGAACGCUGGCGGCAGGCCUAACACAUGCAAGUCGAACGCCGUAGCAAUACGGAGUGGCAGACGGGUGAGUAACGCGUGGGAACAUGCCCUUUGGUUCGGAAUAACUCAGGGAAACUUGAGCUAAUACCGGAUAAGCCCGAGAGGGGAAAGAUUUAUCGCCGAAGGAUUGGCCCGCGUCCGAUUAGCUAGUUGGUGAGGUAACGGCUCACCAAGGGGACGAUCGGUAGCUGGUCUGAGAGGAUGAUCAGCCACACUGGGACUGAGACACGGCCCAGACUCGUACGGGAGGCAGGAGUGGGGAAUAUUGGACAAUGGGCGCAAGCCUGAUCCAGCCAUGCCGCGUGAGUGAUGAGGGCCCUAGGGUUGUAAAGCUCUUUCGCCAGGGACGAUAAUGACGGUACCUGGAUAGGAAGCCCCGGCUAACUUCGUGCCAGCAGCCGCCGUAAUAC